rnacentral:rRNA from 1 species
GACGUAGGGCGCGAGCGUUGUCCGGAUUUAUUGGGCGUAAAGAGCUCGUAGGCGGCUCGUUGCGUCGGCUGUGAAAACCCGCAGCUCAACUGUGGGCUUGCAGCUGAUACGGGCGGGCUGGGAUUCGGUAGGGGAGACUGGAAUUCCUGGUGUAGCGGUGAAAUGCGCAGAUAUCAGGAGGAACACCGGUGGCGAAGGCGGGUCUCUGGGCAGUUUCUGACACUGAUGCGCGACAGCGGUGGGGAGCAAACAGG